GACCCUCCAUUGGACAGCUUGGACAGGAAGCAAGGCUUGGCAAGCUCCAUAGCCACACACCCCAUCCUAUAUGGCUUAAGUCCUGUCUCACAUGUUGAAUCACCAGCAGCAUACCACCCUGCAUACCACUGCUGGCUUGCUUCUGAAGCUAAGCAGGGUUUGUCCUGGUCAGUCCCUGGAUGGGAGACCAGAUACUGCUGGAAGUGGUGUUGGAGGACCAGUAGAAAGCUCGUGAGAUAAGAUCAUGCGCAGACCAGUUGGCUGGUGUGUUUACGGACAUUUUCAAUCUCUCCCUAUCCCAGUCUGCUGUCCUCACAUGCUUCAAGAUGGCCACCAUUGUUCCUGUACCCAAGAAGGCAAAGUCUACAUGGAAUACUCUACACGCAGCCAGAGACAGUAGCCGCAGCAUUGCCCUUGCAAAAAAAGAUUGGUUUGGAAAACACACACUCGGGACUCUGAUUGGACCAGCAGACUGUCAAUCAAUACAGGUCGGGUGAGCUAGGGAACAUGUUGCUGAUUUGCUGUACUGCUAUAGGACUGGGUGCAGCACAAAUGCAAAUUGUAUGGAGAGAGGAUUGCCAUAAUAAAAAACUUGCAGCUCCAAUAAUUGUUUGGUGAUGAAAAAUAUUAACUGUUUAUUUUACAAGCUCACCAGCAAUGGGGCAGCAAUUCAAUUCAAUUCUCCAAUUCAAAAUUAAAUCUAGAAUCGGCUUCCAAUUUCGCAACAAAGCCUCCUUCACUCAUGCUGCCAAACAUACCCUCGUAAAACUGACUAUCCUACCGAUCCUUGACUUCGGCAAUGUCAUUUACAAAAUAGCCUCAACACUCUACUCAGCAAACAGGAUGCAGUCUAUCACAGUACCAUCCGUU
rnacentral:lncRNA from 1 species